UUCGGAUUGCAGGCUGCAACUCGCCUGCAUGAAGUUGGAAUUGCUAGUAAUCGCGGAUCAGCAUGCCGCGGUGAAUACGUUCCCGGGCCUUGUACACACCGCCCGUCACACCAUGGGAGCCGGUAAUACCCGAAGUCAGUAGCCUAACCGCAAGGGGGGCGCUGCCGAAGGUAGGAUUGGCGACUGGGGUGAAGUCGUAACAAGGUAGC
rnacentral:rRNA from 1 species